rnacentral:rRNA from 1 species
UACGUAGGGUGCGAGCGUUAAUCGGAAUUACUGGGCGUAAAGCGUGCGCAGGCGGUUCGUUGUGUCGGUGGUGAAAGCCCCGGGCUCAACCUGGGAACUGCAUCUGUGACUGCAUCGCUGGAGUACGGUAGAGGGGGAUGGAAUUCCGCGUGUAGCAGUGAAAUGCGUAGAUAUGCGGAGGAACACCGAUGGCGAAGGCAAUCCCCUGGACCUGUACUGACGCUCAUGCACGAAAGCGUGGGGAGCAAACAGG